rnacentral:rRNA from 1 species
AGUGAACGCUGGCGGUAGGCCUAACACAUGCAAGUCGAACGGCAGCACAGUAAGAGUUUUCUCUUACGGGUGGCGAGUGGCGGACGGGUGAGGAAUACAUCGGAAUCUACUUUUUCGUGGGGGAUAACGUAGGGAAACUUACGCUAAUACCGCAUACGACCUACGGGUGAAAGCAGGGGAUCUUCGGACCUUGCGCGAUUGAAUGAGCCGAUGUCGGAUUAGCUAGUUGGCGGGGUAAAGGCCCACCAAGGCGACGAUCCGUAGCUGGUCUGAGAGGAUGAUCAGCCACACUGGAACUGAGACACGGUCCAGACUCCUACGGGAGGCAGCAGUGGGGAAUAUUGGACAAUGGGCGCAAGCCUGAUCGAGCAAUACCGCGUGGGUGAAGAAGGCCUUCGGGUUGUAAAGCCCUUUUGUUGGGAAAGAAAAGCAGCAGGUUAAUACCCCGAUGUUCUGACGGUACCCAAAGAAUAAGCACCGGCUAACUUCGUG